rfam:Volvulina boldii chloroplast psbC gene for photosystem II CP43 apoprotein, strain:TTEX 2185.
GAUAACCAAAAAUUACAGCAGCAUUUGUUGUUGGAUUAGUAAUUACACGUACGUCUCCGCCGCCGGGAGCCCAAGUAUCAUAAAUACCGCCAAAGUACAUAGCUUUCCAAACAAGGAGCCACGCGCCUAGACCUAAAAUAAUUAGGUGAUAACCUAAAAUGUUAGUCAUUUUGUUUUUAUCUUUCCA